rnacentral:misc_RNA from 1 species
GUCGAAGGUGGGGCUGAUGACUGGGGUGAAGUCGUAACAAGGUAGCCGUACCGGAAGGUGCGGCUGGAUCACCUCCUAACAGGGAGACAAACAACGAUUUUGAUGUCUGAGUUUUUUUAUUCUUAGGCCAAAAUCCUGUCACCUUAGGUCGAUCGGUACCUCAACUUUGAAGCUAAGAGUAUUCAGCAAUGGAUAUCUGCUUAGUGGAAAUUUUUAGUUCCUAAACUUUGUCUAGUUCACAACCCAUUAGGGAUGAGACUCCUGGGCCAUUAGCUCAGGUGGUUAGAGCGCACCCCUGAUAAGGGUGAGGUCCCUGGUUCAAGUCCAGGAUGGCCCAUUCGGUGUAGGGGGUUUAGCUCAGUUGGUAGAGCGCCUGCUUUGCAAGCAGGAUGUCAGGAGUUCGAGUCUCCUAACCUCCACUGACUACCAAAAUCCCCAUCUCCAAAACCUGGAGUAUGAACUCGUAUGGAUUGUGAUUUAGAUAUGUCCGCUAGAUGACCCUAGCUUCUUGUCAUUUUAAGGCAUGGAAAAAAUUCCAUGAUAUUUAAUUGAUAGGAUGCUGGGCUCGAUUCAAUGUAUUGAGAGAUCAAUGCAUUGUUUUGAUGUCUGGUCGAACCUUGACAACUGCAUAGUAAGUCUGGAAAGAAUAAAGCAUCUUUAUGGAUGCAUCAUUCUUGAGUGUUAAUUCACGAUGGGGUGGUGUUAAUUCUAAAGCAAGAGCCGAGACUCCAGCAUGUUCUUUCAAAUGUGUCGAGCAUUUGAGAGUUUGAUUUUAAUUUCUAUUUUUAGAAGUUAGAAGAAUCUGUUUCAACGACAGCAAGCGUGUUGGAGAUACAUUGGUCAAGCUACAAAGGGCU